rnacentral:rRNA from 1 species
UACGUAGGGGGGCAAGCGUUGUCCGGAUUUAUUGGGCGUAAAGAGCGUGUAGGCGGCCAGGUAGGUCUGCUGUGAAAACUCGAGGCUUAACCUCGAGCUGUCGGCGGAAACCAUCUGGCUAGAGUCCGGAAGAGGAGAAUGGAAUUCCCGGUGUAGCGGUGAAAAUGCGCAGAUAUCGGGAAGAACACCCGUGGCGAAGGCGGUUCUCUGGGACGGUACUGACGCUGAGACGCGAAAGCGUGGGGAGCGAACAGG